rnacentral:rRNA from 1 species
AGCGAACGCUGGCGGCAGGCCUAACACAUGCAAGUCGAACGAAGUCUUCGGACUUAGUGGCGGACGGGUGAGUAACACGUGGGAACGUACCUUUUGGUUCGGAACAACUCAGGGAAACUUGAGCUAAUACCGGAUGAGCCCUUAGGGGGAAAGAUUUAUCGCCGAAAGAGCGGCCCGCGUUAGAUUAGCUAGUUGGUGAGGUAAAGGCUCACCAAGGCUACGAUCUAUAGCCGGUCUGAGAGGAUGAUCAGCCACACUGGGACUGAGACACGGCCCAGACUCCUACGGGAGGCAGCAGUGGGGAAUCUUGCGCAAUGGGCGAAAGCCUGACGCAGCCAUGCCGCGUGAAUGAUGAAGGUCUUAGGAUUGUAAAAUUCUUUUACCGGGGACGAUAAUGACGGUACCCGGAGAAGAAGCCCCGGCUAACUUCGUGCCAGCAGCCGCGGUAACAC